UCUCUGGUGGUCCAGUGGUUAGGACUCUGCACUUCCACUGCAGGGGGCAAGGGUUCAAUCCCUGGUUGGGGAA
rnacentral:tRNA from 1 species